rnacentral:lncRNA from 1 species
UUCUCUCCCAGUUCCCCCACUUCGCUCCCAGUUUGGUCCCAGUUCACUCCCACUUACCCCAGUUCACUCCCAGUUUGCUCCCAGUUCCCCCAGUUCAAUCCCAGUCUCUCCUAGUUCACUCCCAGUUACCCCAGUUCACUCCCAGUUACCCCAGUUUGGUCCCAGUUACCCCAGUUUGGUCCCAGUUCUCUCCCAGUUCUCUCCCAGUCUGUCCCAGUUACCCCAAUUCUCUCCCAGUUCUCUCCCAGUUUGUCCCAGUCUCUCCCAGUUACCCCAGUUCGGUCUCAGUUUGGUCCCAGUUCUCUCCCAGUUUGUCCCAGUUCGGUUCCGUUUCUCUCCCGGAAGUCGCCGCCGGCCGCGCGCCGCUCACGUGACCCCCCGCCCCUUUAGCCCCGCCCCCGUUGCCGCGGCAACCGCGCCGUCUUUCCGGCCCACCACGUGAUCCGCGCCCCGACCAAUCGGCGGCCGGCGCGGGGCAGCGCUCGGCCAAUCAGAGCGCGGGGAGGCGGCGCGCGCGCGGCUGUGUGCUGGCCUGGGCGCCGCCAUGUUGGGGGGGGCACCAAGAGCAC